AAGGUUGUUUUCCUGUGGACGGAAGUUGCUUAAUCAGACUGGAAUGCAGAGUGACUUUUCCUGUCUCUAUGGAACACGCAAGAGAGAGAGACGGACAGAAAAAAGUCUUUCGAAACACAAAGAUAUUUGACUUCUUCACGUCCAGCAACCAGCGACAGAAACAUCUCCUAUUUUGGCCGAGUUUAUUAAUUAAUUGAAGUUUUUAUUGAUCUCAGCAGUGGCUGCCAUCAUUGGGCACCAGAGAGCAGUCAGGGUUAAGGGUCUUGCUCAGAGACCCAGAGUGGCAGUCUGUGGAAGAGGGUUUCAAACUCGCAACCUCAGGAUUCCAAGCUCUAUGCCCCAACCACAAGGCCAGCACUUCCCUCCAAGUUUUUCCAUGUCAGCUGCAGCACUUUCUAGUUCUGCCAGUGUUCUUUGCUCGAGCCACUUCGGCUAGAUGACCGUGAUUCCUCCAGUCUCCGCCUCAUUCGGUCUCGGCUGCACGGCUUCAGUUCAACAGGCUCACCUCGGCAUUUAGUGAUCAGCUGGUCACAAGUCUGGACGACUCUCAUGCAGCUCCGAGCCCCCCUGGGCUCAGGGCACCGUAUCCUAACCUUUCAGCCAAACUCAUCUAACUCCUGUGUCUACAUACCAUUUUCAUUACUCUGUAAAGUGCCUUGAGAUGACAUGUGUUGUGAAUUUGGCGCUAUAUAAAUAAACUGAAUUGAAUUGAAUUCAAUUCAAGACAAGCACAAUACUGUUUUAGGUUUAAUUAAAUUCUCCAUGUAAAUAUUCUGCCUUGUUAAUUGUUUUAUGAAAAAACAAUUUAUAAAUCAUAAUUUUCCCAUAGCAAAA